AAAACGUGUGGCGAUGGAGUCCGCCCAAUAACCGCCUUUAUAGGCUGAUGACUGCUACUGAUCC
rfam:Acidithiobacillus ferrooxidans ATCC 23270, complete genome.